rnacentral:rRNA from 1 species
CCUACGGGUGGCAGCAGUGGGGAAUAUUGGACAAUGGGGGGAACCCUGAUCCAGCCAUGCCGCGUGUGUGAAGAAGGCCCUCGGGUUGUAAAGCACUUUCAGUGAGGAAGAACGCCUGGUGGUUAAUACCCAUCAGGAAAGACAUCACUCACAGAAGAAGCACCGGCUAACUCCGUGCCAGCAGCCGCGGUAAUACGGAGGGUGCGAGCGUUAAUCGGAAUUACUGGGCGUAAAGCGCGCGUAGGUGGCUUGAUAAGCCGGUUGUGAAAGCCCCGGGCUCAACCUGGGAACGGCAUCCGGAACUGUCAAGCUAGAGUGCAGGAGAGGAAGGUAGAAUUCCCGGUGUAGCGGUGAAAUGCGUAGAGAUCGGGAGGAAUACCAGUGGCGAAGGCGGCCUUCUGGACUGACACUGACACUGAGGUGCGAAAGCGUGGGUAGCAAACAGGAUUAGAUACCCGUGUAGUC